rnacentral:rRNA from 1 species
GAUGAACGCUGACAGAAUGCUUAACACAUGCAAGUCAACUGUGGCGGACGGGUGAGUAACGCGUACAGAACUUGCCUCACAGCUAGGGACAACAUUUGGAAACGAAUGCUAAUACCUGAUACUGUGAGAGAGCUUUGCGUCCCAUUAGCUAGUUGGAGAGGUAACGGCUCACCAAGGCGAUGAUGGGUAGCCGGCCUGAGAGGGUGAUCGGCCACAAGGGGACGGGGAAACCGCCCUUAGUCCUACGGGAGGCAGCGGUGGGGAAUAUUGGACAAUGUACCAAAGUCUGAACGAGCAAUUCGGUGUGUACAAGGAAGUUUUCGGAAUGAAAAGUACUUUCAGUUGGGCAGCGGUACCAACAGAAGAAGUGACGGCUAACUACGUGCCAGCAGCCGCGGUAAUUC